rnacentral:rRNA from 1 species
CAACCUGCCGCUUACUCGGGGAUAGCCUUUCGAAAGAAAGAUUAAUACCCGAUGGUAUAAAGAGUUCGCAUGUUCUCUUUAUUAAAGAAUUUCGGUAAGCGAUGGGGAUGCGUUCCAUUAGAUAGUUGGCGGGGUAACGGCCCACCAAGUCUACGAUGGAUAGGGGUUCUGAGAGGAAGGUCCCCCUCAUUGGAACUGAGACACGGUCCAAACUCCUACGGGAGGCAGCAGUGAGGAAUAUUGGUCAAUGGACGCGAGUCUGAACCAGCCAAGUAGCGUGAAGGAUGACUGCCCUAUGGGUUGUAAACUUCUUUUAUAAGGGAAUAAAGUGAGGGACGUGUCCCUUUUUGUAUGUACCUUAUGAAUAAGGAUCGGCUAACUCCGUGCCAGCAGCCGCGGUAAUACGGAGGAUCCAAGCGUUAUCCGGAUUUAUUGGGUUUAAAGGGAGCGUAGGUUGACAUAUAAGUCAGCUGUGAAAGUUUACGGCUCAACCGUGAAAUUGCAGUUGAUACUGUAUGUCUUGAGUGUACAAGAGGUGGGCGGAAUUCGUGGUGUAGCGGUGUAAUGCUUAGAUAUCACGAAGAACUCCGAUUG